UAGAGAGAAGCUUGCUUCUCUUGAGAGCGGCGGACGGGUGAGUAAUGCCUAGGAAUCUGCCUGGUAGUGGGGGAUAACGUUCGGAAACGGACGCUAAUACCGCAUACGUCCUACGGGAGAAAGCAGGGGACCUUCGGGCCUUGCGCUAUCAGAUGAGCCUAGGUCGGAUUAGCUAGUUGGUGGGGUAAUGGCUCACCAAGGCGACGAUCCGUAACUGGUCUGAGAGGAUGAUCAGUCACACUGGAACUGAGACACGGUCCAGACUCCUACGGGAGGCAGCAGUGGGGAAUAUUGGACAAUGGGCGAAAGCCUGAUCCAGCCAUGCCGCGUGUGUGAAGAAGGUCUUCGGAUUGUAAAGCACUUUAAGUUGGGAGGAAGGGCAGUUACCUAAUACGUGAUUGUUUUGACGUUACCGACAGAAUAAGCACCGGCUAACUCUGUGCCAGCAGCCGCGGUAAUACAGAGGGUGCAAGCGUUAAUCGGAAUUACUGGGCGUAAAGCGCGCGU
rnacentral:rRNA from 1 species